GUCUAUCUGUCGACUAGCUCAAAGAACCACUGGUACAUUCUGCUGUCCGACUAUGAUAAACAGGCGCUUGGCCAACAAUAAACCGAUACAAGAGCCCAGCUAUAAGGACACUAUACUCAGCUGGAAAUGUCAAGUUGAAAGUGGUUUAUAGAACCACCUGAAAGCUAUAAAAAAUGUAUCCAACGCCAAACACAAGCUCCCAUGCGUAGUUAUUAACUAGCGAGGUAAAUGAGACAGAAAAGCGCCUGCGAGCAAGAACAGCAGUGCUACUGCCCAGUGACGCCGGGACACUAGCAGCAAAGACGCGCGGUGCAGUCAGCCUGGUCCUCUUCACUGGACACUCAGUCCCUCUGCUCUGCUCUCCUGGGUAUGGAAAUAUUCACAGGUUUAUAAGUUUAGAUUCGGAACUCCUUUAAACAGCUGACUUCCUACUACGUCCAUCCAUCUGCAGCCGGGCACUUCCUUAUAACGACAUCAGGCGUCACAGCACAGUAAACACACGGGUCCUAAAAGGAGCCGGGUUAGGCAGAACUCCGCCAGUACAGACGGUCCUCCUCGUCGAGAAAUGAAUCGCACACGUUGCAGUCCCAAUAGGUAAACCUUUUCAAAAAUGUGUCCGUAAAUGCGGACUCAAUCCUUUAGUUUACGGGAUAUUUAUGAAUAUGUUCGUAAAUAAACGUACAACUUUCAGGGAUUUACGUCAUUUGUGAAAAGCUCUGGGCAGUCGCCUCCAUCCCAGAGAUCACUACACCCAUUCACUCAAAGGGUAACGGAGCCCGUGAACAACAACGUGACCUUCAAAUCUGGCAAUUUAAGGCUGUUUCACACAGUUGUGGCGCAAAUAAUCGCAGAGACCAGCAAACGACUUUAGCUACACAGAGAGAGGACUGGACAGUGAAAUGAACUUCUGCAGUUGCCAGCUGACGAUUACAACCAUAGAUAUAAGUGACGUGCCGCGUUGGGUCCAGCCAGGCACGUCAACGGCGCUGCCAUUUUGGGGCGGUCAACAUCGCUGCUGGACUGCGUUCUGUGCCGUUACAGAGCGGAAGUUUAAGAAAGAUACGGUCCAAAAUGAUACUACUUCAAGAAUACUACCUUCAGACAGUGGGAUAAGAUUGUUGGCACACAUGGCUGGUGGUCCGCUGGCUUUUUCCUCAGCGUUUUCCAGGCAGCCCACAGAUGGAGACAACCAAAAAGAAUUUUAGACAUUAUCUGACCAGAUUGUCUCAAGAAAUAUCCUUUCUUACUUUGCACACAAACAGAAAAUGGAUACUUUUAUUAUCACAUUUGACCUACAGCCAAUUUGGCCAGACUCUGAAGAUGAGACUACACUAAAUUCCAAAACUGUCAGUUGGUCUGUAAGCAGCUAGAGAAUGACCUGCUGGCUGUGCAGUGAGUUAGCUACAAACAGAAAAAAAGAAAACAGCAGAACAAUUAUCACUCAAUAGAAAAAAAACAACAAAAAUCAACUGUGUUCUGUCCCAGACAUGUGUAAAUACCACCACCUCCUGACAAGAACAGCUAUUGCAGCUUUAGAAAAGUAUAUUGUGUAGCUCAGCGUUUCUCAACCUAUGGGCCAUGGACCACCAGUAGGCCAUGAGACACUUAUUUGUGGUCCGUGCGCUGCAGUCAGCUAGCCAGAGAUGGAAAAGUUUCUCAGGGCGCUUUGUUUGGUUUGGACUUUGGUUUGCACAUCUUUUUCUUCAGUUCUGUUUUUGCUCAGUUUUGACGUGUGAACACUCCACCCAUAGUUGUGUACACAACAAGCAGUUGAACCAGUCUGCUUCCGUUCAUUGCCGAUAGAAAUGCGCUCUGUGACCAAACCAGGGAAUUCAUCAAUAGAGCUGCUUUCCUUCUCUUCUAGAAGCAUGCUGGUGCUGUAUAGUUAGCAUAGCGAUUUAAUUAGCAUUUUAAUUACUGACUCUUUAUAGACACUCAGCAUGAGCUGCUAUUAAAAACAACAAUUGUAAAAUAAUAGCAAAGAGAAGGAUUUGAUUUCAAUUCAUGGAUCGCAGAGCAUAUAUGUUUCUUUUCAUUUUUAUGCUGACGAUACACAGAUAUAUCUAUUUGUCAAACGAAAUGACACUGGUAGAUUGGCUAAUCUUACCAACUGUCUGACAGCCAUUAAAACCUGGAUGUCUCAAAAUUUUCUUAAACUAAAUGAUGAAAAGACAGAGGUUGUAAUUGCGGGCUCUGAGGAAAUGUCCAAAAAGGUGCAGUUAGAUUGUGUUGGUUUAAAGGCAAGGCCCUUUGUGUGAAAUCUCGGUGUGACUUUUGACUCCCACCUCAGUUUCUCCUUACACAUCAAGACGCUUCUUCAAUCCUGCUUUUUUCAGCUUAGAAAUAUUAGUAAAGUUAGAAGUUUCCUGCCCUUUUCUGACAUGAAAAAAAUUAUUCAUGCUUUUGCCUGCACCCAUUUGGACUACUGCAUUGCCUUCUUUACUUGUCUGAGUCAGAGAGAGGUGGCUCGUCUACAGCUUGUUCAAAAUACAGCUACUCAUCUUCUCACUAGGACAAAGCGUAGGGAACAUAUUACACCAGUAUUGGCUUCUCUACACUAGUUGCCUGUAAGCUACA
ensembl:lncRNA